GGGCCUGGGCCUGAGCCUGGGCCUGGGCCUGGGCCUGGGCCACCGCCGCUGCCGCCGCUGCUGCCUGCACUUGUUGCUGGAGAUCAGGAGGGUUGUGUUUGCGCAUAUGUUUCAUAAGGUACGUUUCCUGAAGGAGAUCGGCAGAGCACAUCCGGCGCUGCCUGCACUCCAGUAUCCUCAGGGCAGAAGUUACGACUAGUAAGGGCGGAAGUGGCUUCUGCCCAGCGACGCGGUAGAGCCCUGUGUGGAUGUGACGUCACAACGGAAGCGAAGGCGGGUUCCGUUAAGGGCAGAAGUUGAACCUUCAGAACUGCGGUCCCGGGCUUCCGGAAGGGACUUCUGGGGAAGUGGGAGGGUGGAAACCGACAGGUUUAUGAAUUAUGCAUCAGGUACGAGAGGAGGGUUCAUAAGCAGAACCAGGGGACUCAGGUAUCUUGCAAAGGCUUUAUUUGAAAAUUUUGAAACUUACAUCCCACAAGAAUUCAAGAUUAUCACCACAAGAAGAAAGAG